UUACCAUGUCCCUGUAAAAUCAAGAAGACAAGUUACAACUGAUCUUCAAGUUAAAUAAGACUUAGUUGGUUAGGGUUACUCCUCCAGUGAAUAUGAUAAAGCUAUGAAGUAUGCAUAUGUUUCGAUACUUGUAGUGGAAGAUGAGGAAGUGACCUUUGAUUCAUUGAUUGCCUUCAUAGUAGACACUAAAAAUGAAAAAGAGAAUGAGGUAACUAUUUCUAACAUUAAAAAAAGC
rnacentral:lncRNA from 1 species